UUUCUCCUUCCUGAGCAUCCUGUUCACUCCUUGAAAGGUCAGCUGAGGGCUUGAGGUCCACAAGAGGUCCACAAAAACAGAGCACAUCUCUCCUUUUGUAAAAGGAUCAUCUCCUUUGCCUGAUCCCCGUGGAUGGUGUAGAAGCUCACUGGACAACGCCUUCAGCCUAGCCACUUUCCUGACUAAGUGAUGUAAACCGAAGAAAUCAGAAGUCUUCAAGAAUCAAGUUGUUAACUAAGAAAAACCAGCUGGAGCAAAGC